UAACACGUAGGGAACCUGCCUGCAUGAGCGGGAGAACUUCUGGAAACGGAAGCUGAUACCGGAUGAGCAAAGAGGAGGCAUCUUCUUUUUGGAAAAGGGGACAAGAGUCCCGCAUGCAGAUGGACUUGCGGUGCAUUAGCUGGUUGGAGAGGUAACGGCUCACCAAGGCGACGAUGCAUAGCCGGCCUGAGAGGGCGGACGGCCACACUGGGACUGAGACACGGCCCAGACUCCUGCGGGAGGCAGCAGUAGGGAAUUUUCGUCAAUGGGGGGAACCCUGAACGAGCAAUGCCGCGUGAGCGAGGAAGGUCUUCGGAUCGUAAAGCUCUGUUGCCGGGGACAAAAGGCAGAAAGAGUGGAAAGCUUUCUGAGUGAUGGUACCCGGCGAGGAAGUCACGGCUAACUACGUGCCAGCAGCCGCGGUAAUACGUAGGUGGCGAGCGUUAUCCGGAAUGAUUGGGCGUAAAGGGUGCGCAGGCGGCCGGGCAAGUCCGCAGUAAAAACUGGAGGCUCAACCUUCAGGGGCUGCGGAAACUGUCCGGCUGGAGAGCAGGAGAGGACGGUGGAACUCCAUGUGUAGCGGUAAAAUGCGUAGAUAUAUGGAAGAACACCGGUGGCGAAGGCGGCCGUCUGGCCUGCAUCUGACGCUGAGGCACGAAAGCGUGGGGAGCAAAUAGGAUUAGAUACCCUAGUAGU
rnacentral:rRNA from 1 species